GAUGAACGCUAGCGGCAGGCCUAACACAUGCAAGUCGAGGGAGAAGCCCUUUCGGGGGCAGAAACCGGCGCACGGGUGCGUAACGCGUAUGCAACCUACCUCUCACAGGGGGAUAGCCCGAAGAAAUUUGGAUUAAUACCCCAUAAUAUUAUUGGAUGGCAUCAUUUGAUAAUUAAAACUGCGGUGGUGAAAGAUGGGCAUGCGUCCUAUUAGCUAGUUGGAGUGGUAACGGCACCCCAAGGCUACGAUAGGUAGGGGUCCUGAGAGGGAGAUCCCCCACACUGGUACUGAGACAGGGACCAGACUCCUACGGGAGGCAGCAGUGAGGAAUAUUGGUCAAUGGUCGGAAGACUGAACCAGCCAUGCCGCGUGCAGGAAGAAUGCCUUAUGGGUUGUAAACUGCUUUUAUAUGGGAAGAAUAAGGCGUACGUGUACGUUGAUGACGGUACCAUAUGAAUAAGCAUCGGCUAACUCCGUG
rnacentral:rRNA from 1 species